CCUACGGGUGGCUGCAGUGAGGAAUAUUGGUCAAUGGGCGUAAGCCUGAACCAGCCAAGUCGCGUGAGGGAUGAAGGUUCUAUGGAUCGUAAACCUCUUUUAUCAGGGAGUAAUGUGCGGGACGUGUCCCGUUUUGUAUGUUCCUUGUGAAUAAGGCUCGGCUAACUCCGUGCCAGCAGCCGCGGUAAUUCGGAGGGUCCGAGCGUUUAUCGGAUUUUUUGGGUUUAAAGGGUUGGUAGGCGGCAUUUUAAGUCAGCGGGUAAAGUCUGGGGGCCAACCAUAGAAGUGACGUUGAAACUGGUGGGCUUGAGUAUGUUAGAGGCAGGCGGAAUGCGUGGUGUAGCGGUGAAAUGCAUAGAUAUCACGCAGAACCCCGAUUGCGAAGGCAGCCUGCCAAGGCAUGACUGACGCUGAAGCACGAAAGCGUGGGGAUCAAACAGGAUUAGAUACCCCAGUAGUC
rnacentral:rRNA from 1 species